AGGACAUGGAACGACAAAAGGUGAAGGAGCCACAGCUACCUCUGGGCCAGUCUCUGGAAAGACUCUGGAGCCUGGGAAUGACAACACCGAGGCCACAAGUUCCACAGGAGGGGUCAGGACCACUGGAUCAAGAGCUCCAGGAGGUACUCUUGGUGAAUUCGCUACAACAACCAUUAUAUCUGGAGUUUCCAACACAGCCACCAGUGGGGCAGAUCUUGGCACAGCUGUUGUCCCUGGCAGUUCCUAUACAGG